CCAGGACCCCAUGAUCACACCCUGAGCCGAAGGGAGACACUCAACCACUGGGCCAGCCAGAACCAAACCUGUAAUAUCUCUGGGGUAUACCUGUAUUGACCUUGGGACGAUAUGUCAGGAGGAGGAUCAUCUGCUUCUAGACCUCAGCUGACUAGCAGGAUUCUGGCCAGUGAGCCACAAGGGUAUAGUCUGCCAAAGGACUUAGGAGAAAGGUGCUCCUCAUGGAAAGAAAUAGGGCCUGCUCCACCCCCAGACAUAUGUUCCUACCCCUCACCUGCAGUUUCUUCUGCCAUUUAGUGACCUUAAGGUAAGCUAACUUAAGAAUGAGCACGAUAGGCUUAAGAAAGCAGAGGAGAAGGAAGAAGAGACUGAUGUAGUCUUUAUACUCAAUGAGCCAACUCUGGA